AUGGCUUGUGUCCUUAUCCAGAAGAGUGGAAAUAACAGAGCCACUCACAGGGCUGCUGUAGGUUCCACGAGUUAACACGUGCGAAGUCUCCAACUAGUCUUCAGUGCACAGCAAGAGCUCGUUACGAGUCAGGUGGAACGAGUCCACGAAUUAACGGAGGCUCUACACAGGCCACGAAGAUGCCUUGCUUGUGGGCAGACACAGCCCGAGCCUAGACUGAGCCAUCCUCUGAGAUGAGGGAGAUGCACGUAAGGACUGUCCUGCUCUCAGUCCAGCUGCGGGGACAGGCAAGAGGUGAUGCCAAAUCCAGUGAACAGCACUAACUAAGGGGAGUCCCAGAAGGGCCCAGUUCUCUGCACAAGGUCCAGGAAGACCACCUGCUGUGCUACCUGAGCUGAGUUCCAAAGGUGACCUGGAGAUCUGCUUAGUUAAGUCCUUUCACUGAUAAAACAGGCCGGGGGGGAAGAAGGGGUCAGAAGAGGAAGUCACCACAGGCUGGCAGCAUCGGAGGGGAGCACUGUGUGUGCAGGAAGGACAUGCAGAUACACUCAGGAGCAUACAUAUCCACACAUGCACACAUGUCCACACAUGCACAUGUGACCACGUGGUCUGCUAUGCUCAGGCCCAUCCAGGGCCCAUGCUGCCCCAUGGAGAAGACAUUGCUCUCAGGACAAGGCAGAGGGCGUCCCACCCUGAAAGAGGCGCCUUCCUCCAGGAAGCCUGCCCUGGGCCUACGUAAGGCCAAACCACACGCCUGUCACAUGGCCCUCGCCAACUCCCAAGGGCAGCCUGGAACCACGGCCCCAGCGCCAAGGCAGACAGAACAGUAUCAUGAAAAUAACCUCAGGAAAAGGAGGCCUGGGCCUGCCCCCGAAAUGACCUGUGCACUGAGGACUGCCCCGUGGGAAUGUGGGCUCCCAGAGUGCCGGAGGCUCCCAGGUGCGCAGCCCUUCCCAAGGUUCAACACUUCAGCAGUCAUGAACCAGUCAGACUGACAGGGUCUAAAGAUCCUGCAGAGGGCUGGGGCCAGCUGCCAGGCAACCCACUUAGUGGGCCAGCACGGCUCUUUCUCAGCCCCCUUCUCCAAACCACCCCCCUACCACACUAUUUUUAGCCCCACUUCAUCUCUGCAGCAAACGUUCCAAUGUAAGCCUUAACAAUUGCUUCGCUCUAUUCAAAGAAAUGUAUUAGAAACAUAAAAUAUGAUCUCGCCCAAGAACACUUGGACCUGAGGAUGGCCCCAAACUCCCUUGGCUCCUCUACAAAAUCAGGGCACUUUUCAGGGAGGACAGCGUCCCACGAUGGCCACUUAUUUAUGUGGUCUGUCCUUUGCAACAGUCUCCGCAACAGCCUUCCAUUGAAUUCUGUCUCAUUGGACACCUUUCUGGGGACUGGGGACAGGGCAGGCCUGGGCCCGCAGGUUCUCAGCUUGCAGCUGACAGGGCACGGACAAUGUGCCAGGCAGGAGCGGAGGCCCUUGCCAACUGCAUUCCUCUCCUGAGAAGACACUUCUAAGAGCAUUCGGCUCCAUGUUAAACAUGUAAAAGACAUUCGGGCCAAAUCUUGGGGCUUUAAAUGAAGAGACUUUUGCUGGCAAGCAGGGCUUGGGGAAAAAAUAAAUCACAGAGCUAAAUAAAUCAUGGGAUGUAAAUGAGAGCAUGUUUUACAGAUGGAGCUGGAGAAGAUCUAAACACAAAAACCAUUAAAUGCCUACUAUGAGCCAGACUCCGGGCCCAACCCUUCACCGUGACCUCAGCUGACCGCCAACAGCAGUCAGCCAGCUCACCCAGCCGCCUGGCUCGAUCAGAACAGAGCCCCAGUUUUGUGACAGGUAACGGGUCACCCAGGGGUAAGUACCCAUUAGUGCAACAGCCAUGCUGGGCAUAUCCAUGCCUUACUGGCUCCUUCACACCCUAAGAGGCAGGCACUAGCAGCCCCAGUUUGGAAGAGAAAAUUUGGGCCCAGGAAGGUGAGUUACUCAACUAAGGCUACGCCACCAGUAAGAGGCUGCCAUGGUCUGAGUGUGACCUCGAAAACCAUGUGCUGGAAACUUAAUCCCCAAUGCAUCAGAGGCGGCCUAUGGAGAGGUGAUUAGGCCAGGAGGGCUCUGCCCUCAGGAAUGGGUAUUAUGACAUGAGCAGCUUCCCAAUAAAAGGACAAGCCCAGCCCCUCUUCUUCUCUCACCUUCUCUUUGUUCUUCUGCCAUGGACUGACACAGCAAAAGGCCCUUGACAGAUACCGGCCCCUGCUGUGCAACGGCCCCUGCUGUCCAACUGCCCAGCCCCAAGAACUAUGAGCCAAUACAUUUGUGUUAGUCGUAAAUUACCCAGCCUGUGAGCACAAAGCAGAGUAAGACAGAGCCGAACCCAGGUCUUCCCCAACCCCAAGGCCUACCAUCUCCCAUACACCCUUCAGGACAGGCUGCUGUGCACACGCAGGAUGGUACAAGCAUAGGGCCACGGCGUGCAUGAGUCCCGCCCUCCCCUACUGGUGCUUAGCUCUCUCAGCAAUUUGGUCAUAGCUGUCACUCUCCAGAGAGGCUGAUGAGGCCCACAUCAGCUUACUCACUUGGCCUCCCUGGGCUGCAGAUGGCUAGGCAAGGCAGGCAGUAAGUAUCUGUUGAGCUUAUGAAUGAAUGAGUGAGUGAAUGAAUGAGUGGGCCACCAUUCUAGAAGGGGUACCACUCUCACUCCUGUACCUCUUGUUCCCAUCUGUGUACAGGAAAAGCUCUGCGUCAAAGAACUAAGUAAAUAAAAAAACAUCCUUCAAGAGGAAAGAUCUCUCCACCCCUGCCUCUGCCUAGCCUCCCACUGAGCCACACAAAAGCCCAGGCUGCAGAGAGCAAAGGCCCAGUGUACAAAUAAAACGUGAGCGCUGGCCUGGAGGCCAGCAUUGUGGUAGCACUGGGAAAGGAGCAGCGGGUAAAGAUGACACAAAACAAAACAUCCAUUCACACAUACACACACACACACACACACAGACACACACACACACACACACACACACACACACACGGCCCACAAGGGCUCCAACAUACCAUGCCAUGGCUUCCCGCAAAAGGUCCCUGGCCAACCUCAUGGUGGCAUUUCUGCUGACCUCCAAGCUGGAACUAACUGCAACACUACAAACUAGAAAGUGUCCUUUCUGUUCUAGAACUAAGGCCAGUUUUGAAAAGGGGCAUUUUGGUAGCUUACACCAGGGGUGUUCAAUCUUUUGGCUUCCCUGGGCCACAGAUAAAAUACACUAAUACUAUCGAUAGCUGAUGAGCUUGAAAAGAAAAAAGAAAAGAAAAAAAACCUCACGUUUUAAAAAGUGUACCAAUUUGUGUUGGGCUGCAUUCGAAGCCAUCCGGGGCCACAUGCAGCCCAUGGGCCACCGGUUGGACAAGGCUGGCUUACACAUUCCUUGUCAGCCUCAGCUGAAA
rnacentral:lncRNA from 1 species